rnacentral:rRNA from 1 species
GGGCCCGCACAAGCGGUGGAGUAUGUGGUUUAAUUCGAUGCAACGCGAAGAACCUUACCAGGGCUUGACAUCCUGCGAACCUCUGGGAAACCGGAGGGUGCCUUCGGGAACGCAGUGACAGGUGGUGCAUGGCUGUCGUCAGCUCGUGUCGUGAGAUGUUGGGUUAAGUCCCGCAACGAGCGCAACCCACGUCUUUAGUUGCCAGCAUUUAGUUGGGCACUCUAGAGAGACUGCCGGUGAUAAGCUGAGGAAGGUGGGAUGACGUCAAGUCCUCAUGGCCCUUACGUGUUGGGCUACACACGUGCUACAAUGGUAUCUACAACAGGAAGCAAGACUGCGAGGUCAAGCAAAUCCUUAAAAGAUACCUC